AGUGAACGCUGGCGGUAGGCCUAACACAUGCAAGUCGAACGGCAGCACAGUAAGAGCUUGCUCUUACGGGUGGCGAGUGGCGGACGGGUGAGGAAUACAUCGGAAUCUACUUUUUCGUGGGGGAUAACGUAGGGAAACUUACGCUAAUACCGCAUACGACCUACGGGUGAAAGCAGGGGAUCUUCGGACCUUGCGCGAUUGAAUGAGCCGAUGUCGGAUUAGCUAGUUGGCGGGGUAAAGGCCCACCAAGGCGACGAUCCGUAGCUGGUCUGAGAGGAUGAUCAGCCACACUGGAACUGAGACACGGUCCAGACUCCUACGGGAGGCAGCGGUGGGGAAUAUUGGACAAUGGGCGCAAGCCUGAUCCAGCCAUACCGCGUGGGUGAAGAAGGCCUUCGGGUUGUAAAGCCCUUUUGUUGGGAAAGAAAAGCAGCAGGUUAAUACCCCGCUAUUCUGACGGUACCCAAAGAAUAAGCACCGGCUAACUUCGUG
rnacentral:rRNA from 1 species